GAUGAACGCUGGCGGCGUGCCUAAUACAUGCAAGUCGAGCGAACAGAUGAGGAGCUUGCUCCUCUUACGUUAGCGGCGGACGGGUGAGUAACACGUGGAUAACCUACCUAUAAGACUGGGAUAACUUCGGGAAACCGGAGCUAAUACCGGAUAAUAUAUUGAACCGCAUGGUUCAAUAGUGAAAGACGGUUUUGCUGUCACUUAUAGAUGGAUCCUCGCCGCAUUAGCUAGUUGGUAAGGUAACGGCUUACCAAGGCAACGAUGCGUAGCCGACCUGAGAGGGUGAUCGGCCACACUGGAACUGAGACACGGUCCAGACUCCUACGGGAGGCAGCAGUAGGGAAUCUUACGCAAUGGGCGAAAGCCUGACGGAGCAACGCCGCGUGAGUGAUGAAGGUCUUCGGAUCGUAAAACUCUGUUAUUAGGGAAGAACAAAUGUGUAAGUAACUAUGCACGUCUUGACGGUACCUAAUCAGAAAGCCACGGCUAACUACGUG
rnacentral:rRNA from 1 species